CCUACGGGAGGCAGCAGUGAGGAAUAUUGGUCAAUGGACGGAAGUCUGAACCAGCCAUGCCGCGUGCGGGAAGAAGGUUCAGAGAGUCGUAAACCUCUUUUGUCAGGGGACAAACACUGAUACGCGUAUCCGGCUGAAAGUAUCUGACGAAUAAGCAUCGGCUAACUCCGUGCCAGCAGCCGCGGUAAUACGGAGGAUUCAAGCGUUAUCCGGAUUUAUUGGGUUUAAAGGGUGCGUAGGCGGUCGGUUAAGUUAGAGGUGAAAUCCCGAGGCUCAACUUCGGACUUGCCUCUGAUACUGUUCGUCUCGAGAGUAGUUGCGGUAGGCGGAAUGUAUGGUGUAGCGGUGAAAUGCUUAGAGAUCAUGCAGAACACCGAUUGCGAAGGCAGCUUGCCGGGCUAAUUCUGACGUUGAGGCACGAAAGCGUGGGGAGCGAACAGGAUUAGAUACCCCAGUAGUC
rnacentral:rRNA from 1 species